GUGCUCACUUUAGCAGCACAUAUACUAAAAUUCAAAUACUACAGAAAGACUGACAUGGCAUUUGCACAAAGAUAACAUACAUGUUUCUGAAGCAUUCAUACUUUUU
ensembl:snRNA U6 U6 spliceosomal RNA